CUUUUUUGAAUGCAUUCAGGUACUUUAACUUGCACCCUUGGCUAACAUACCUACAUUUUCUCAGGUCAGGAGGAAGGCAGGAAAGAAGUGUCCCUCUGUCUGUCUCACUCUCUAUAUGUCUGUCUGUCUGGCUGUCAUGCAAAAGCUUCUACAAGGACACUGUAAUGCUAUGUUAUUUAUUUCCUAAACAAUCACCUCUGUUUAAAAGAACACAACUUACACAUUUUCUCUGCUGCUCUUAGAUGCCAACAUUUCGUUUCCCCAUCCUUCCUCUUCAAAGCCUCCAGGAUUUUCCAGCUGGAUACCCAGGGCAUAGGCUCUGCCCGCUGCCAUCAUCUCUUGGUUGGAUCAGAGCAGUUAAGAUGCUUCUAUAUACAGGGGAGUCAGGUGGAGUGUGAUGGGCCGUCUGCGGAGCACCUGCCCCUCGGUGACCCCGUCCGCACUGAGGCAUCUCUGGCUCAGCGGAGCAUCUCCCGGCCGUCUCACGCUCCAUCAAUCCCAAUGACAGGACACAGAGGCGGAGCGGAGGCGCCCGGCCCGAGGGGGCAGCUCUGGGACAGUUUAUCUGGAUGACCUCACCUCCCAGAGCCACUGCGGGGUUAGGACAGGGGUCACACGGAGCCGAGGCACUGCCCUGGCUCUCUAGAGGACCUAGAUUAUAAGCCAAAAGUUGUACACUGUUCAAAUCUUACAAGACUUUAUUCUUUAAAAUGUUAUCAAUAUUUUGAAAUAUUAAUGAAGGUGUUUAAACUGUGAAAUAACUGUGAUUUUAGAUUUUAG
rnacentral:lncRNA from 1 species